rnacentral:rRNA from 1 species
UACGUAGGGGGCAAGCGUUGUCCGGAAUCAUUGGGCGUAAAGAGCGCGUAGGCGGCCCUGUAAGUCCGCUGUGAAAGUCAAGGGCUCAACCCUUGGAUGCCGGUGGAUACUGCAGGGCUAGAGUCCGGAAGAGGCGAGUGGAAUUCCUGGUGUAGCGGUGGAAUGCGCAGAUAUCAGGAGGAACACCGGUGGCGAAGGCGGGUCUCUGGGCAGUAACUGACGCUGAGGAGCGAAAGCGUGGGGAGCGAACAGG